rnacentral:misc_RNA from 1 species
ACAGAGGAUAACAACAGCACUGGAUGGCAGGUAUUGUGUAUAAAGUGGUUGAUAUCUAUAUGUGUUUGGACGUACUUUGUAUAAUGUGUUGAAGAGUUCCAGUACAUCGGGGGAGGAGCAGUAUUUCCCAGAGUACGGAUCUCUGGGUAUGCGGGAAAUCAGCAUUCUCCCCGACCUGUGAGUGGUCGUGAACGUCAGUAAACACGAGUUGUCUCCCGCACCCCACCGAUACGCCAAAAAACCAUAUACAAUGUUCUGCCAAAAUUUCUUGACGUGACACUCUGAUUUCUUAUGGACUAUGUGUCGAAAAAAAAUGAUGUCUCGAGAAUUCAAACGGCCAUUCAGGGUGUUAUUAUUUGCUGAUCAAAGUUGGGAUCAAUGUUAAUGCAUUUCAUUAUCAGGAAUAGGUUAUCAUGACCACCAGUGCAUUUAGUUUCUACACUGUCCUUAAAAGCUGAUAAUGGACCAUCUGCAGAAAUUCAUAAAACAGUUUCCAUUUUCCUUCGUGGCAAGAUUUACAGAAGUCUUGUGUACCCAGUUGUUUCUAAACUCGGUCUCCAUUUUUUUAAAAAAUUUAUACCGUUGUUCUAACGCGUCAUCCUGGAACAAAUGACGAAAAAAUUGGAGAAUGAAUAUAUACUAGAGUGUAUGAUUAUGGAAGGCACCAAAAGACAUACGGCGCGGAUCUCAACGCAAGGUGUAUUUGUUGAACGAGGGAUGUGUCUGGGUUCACGAAAGAGAACGACUUCAUGUCAUCUUGGAUUGCCUCCCUUUGAUAUACAUGCUUAUCUCCCCUACCUAUCAAAAAAGUGUCAGCCAUUGGCGCCAAAACUAAUCAACAUUUAUCUGUCCGGACGACCUCUGUGCCGUUCACAAUUAACCUGUGUACACGUUACCGUUACCCCCGUAACCUUCUGUCGUCUACUUCUGGUGACCGUGCCCAUUUUCACUGGUCAACUGGCAGUAAUAGCCGUGAGGGGAAAACCCCGACCCUAAAACAACAGGCCGCCAUAUUUCUCCAUCCACCGACCGGGUCAUCCUAGGUUUCAGGCGCAUUGCAAUCUCCUUGACGCUUCCUCUGAAAUUAGGUCAUGCAUACAUUGUGUAUGAUUAAUUUUCUUGGCUUUCAAUUAUACAUUUUGAUUUCCUUUAACACCAUUUCUCGGUAUGAACAGGUGAUAAAAUUGUAUAUAUAAUGUGAUUCAAUAAAGGAAAAUAAUGUGGAGAUCCAACAUUUGCGUUGAAAUUAGUUCUGAAAAAUACAAAUGAGUAUAUCAAAUGAAACGGAACAAAUGGAGGGAGAAAAUGCAUAAGUUCCAAACAUUAAUGGAAGUUACAGAGUGUGCUUUAUUUUAUCUUUGUGAAACCUCUUCACCGAUUUAGACAUUUUAUGUGAAAAAGGUUUUAAUACAACCCUUUUUCAAACAGAGGUGAUUAAAGAUUAAAACACGGAAUCUUGCAACCUUUUUUACCCUUGCGAUAGGCCGCUAAAUGAAUCGAUCUAGAGAUAUACAGUGUGUUGUAGCGUCAAUCUGCAGACAAUAUGAUGUUGAAGAAGACUUUAAUUGAACUGUCGUCCAAUAUUGUACUAUCUUUUGUAAACGAUUGCCGAUUUAAUCAGGAUUGCACUCGAUCUACGAAGACAUUUCAAGUAGUUCUACCGACAAGGGCUUAUAUCAGCCUCUCUUUAUCGCAAUGUUCAAGUCACGUGACUACAAGGGUAGAUAAACCCUGCGACCCCAAAAUAUCGCAUUUUCUUUCAGUUUCCAUUCCAUAUGAUGUGAAAAUUUCCUGUUUUGUACUAUAGAAGCUGUAAUUUAUACUAAUAAAAACCUUCGAAUGUUC